rnacentral:rRNA from 1 species
GAGUACGGCCGCAAGGCUGAAACUUAAAGGAAUUGGCGGGGGAGCACUACAACGGGUGGAGCCUGCGGUUUAAUUGGACUCAACGCCGGAAAACUCACCGGGGGCGACAGCAAUAUGUAGGUCAGGUUAAAGGUCUUACCUGAAUCGCUGAGAGGAGGUGCAUGGCCGUCGUCAGUUCGUACUGUGAAGCAUCCUGUUAAGUCAGGCAACGAGCAAGACCCGUGCCCACUGUUACCAGCAUAUCCUUUAUGGAUGAUGGGGACUCUGUGGGGACCGCUGCUGCUAAAGCAGAGGAAGGUGCGGGCUACGGUAGGUCAGUAUGCCCCGAAUCUCCCGGGCUACACGCGGGCUACAAUGGUUGGGACAAUGGGUAUCUACUCCGAAAGGAGUUGGCAAUCUCUUAAACCCAAUCGUAGUUCGAAUUGAGGGCUGUAACUCGCCCUCAUGAAGCUGGAAUCCGUAGUAAUCGCGUUUCAACAUAGCGCGGUGAAUCUGUCCCUGCUCCUUGCACACACCGCCCGUCAAACCAUCCGAGUGAGGUAUGGGUGAGGGCACGAACUUAGUGUCGUGCUCGAACCUAAAUUUCGCAGGGAGGGUUAAGUCGUAACAAGGUAGCCGUAGGGGAAUCUGCGGCUGGAUCACCUCCU